rnacentral:tmRNA from 1 species
GGGGCUGAAAUGGUUUUGACAGCAGGAUGAAUCGUUAUGUAAGCAUGCCGGGCAAUGCAGUUUAUCCCGUAAAAAGGUAUUGCAAACAUAUAAACGGCGAAAAUGAUUACGCUCUCGCUGCAUAACCGAAUCACAGUAGGUUGAUGCUUAAUCCUGAUGCAAGGCGUCAGGACGGGAUGUCUCACAGCAGCCCUUCCCUGUGGCGGCUGAGCCUGAGGCACUAAAAAUGCAGGGAUAGUCCUGAAAGCGCCUUGAUUUCCGGAUAAAUCUAAAGAGGCUAAGGAACAGUUUGGGUGUUCUUCUCCGGGCUGUUCAUGAAAACCAACGAAGAACUAAGCAUGUAGAAAGCUUAGGGGUUUCCUGUUUGGACCCGGGUUCGACUCCCGGCAGCUCAACGA